GGCUUGUUAGCUUAGUUGGUUAGAGUGUCAUGCUAAUAACGUGAAGGUCGCAGGUUCGACACUUUCAUGGGCUA